GUCAAGCAUUUACUCAGAGACUCUAACUCUUCUUGGAAAUGGGCUUCACGAUGAGCACGCUCUUCAUCUUCCAUGUUUCUUGCUUAGAGUCGGGUGUUGUAGACUUUUUGGGGACCUAUAUUUU